rnacentral:tRNA from 1 species
GCUGGCGUAGCUCAGGGGUAGAGCAACUGAUUUGUAAUCAGUCGGUCAGGGGUUCAAAUCCCUUCGCCAGCU